CCUACGGGCGGCAGCAGUAGGGAAUAUUGGACAAUGGGUGCGAGCCUGAUCCAGCCAUGCCGCGUGCAGGAAGAAGGCGUUAUGCGUUGUAAACUGCUUUUGCCAGGGGAUAAAAUAACUGUGCGCAGUUGAUUGAAGGUACCUGGUGAAUAAGCCACGGCUAACUACGUGCCAGCAGCCGCGGUAAUACGUAGGUGGCAAGCGUUGUCCGGAUUUAUUGGGUUUAAAGGGUGCGUAGGCGGCCCUGUAAGUCAGUGGUGAAAUAUCUCAGCUUA
rnacentral:rRNA from 1 species